rnacentral:rRNA from 1 species
GGGUUGUGAGGUUAAGCGACUAAGCGUACACGGUGGAUGCCCUGGCAGUCAGAGGCGAUGAAGGACGUGCUAAUCUGCGAUAAGCGUCGGUAAGGUGAUAUGAACCGUUAUAACCGGCGAUUUCCGAAUGGGGAAACCCAGUGUGUUUCGACACACUAUCAUUAACUGAAUCCAUAGGUUAAUGAGGCGAACCGGGGGAACUGAAACAUCUAAGUACCCCGAGGAAAAGAAAUCAACCGAGAUUCCCCCAGUAGCGGCGAGCGAACGGGGAGGAGCCCAGAGCCUGAAUCAGUGUGUGUGUUAGUGGAAGCGUCUGGAAAGGCGCGCGAUACAGGGUGACAGCCCCGUACACAAAAAUGCACAUGCUGUGAGCUCGAUGAGUAGGGCGGGACACGUGGUAUCCUGUCUGAAUAUGGGGGGACCAUCCUCCAAGGCUAAAUACUCCUGACUGACCGAUAGUGAACCAGUACCGUGAGGGAAAGGCGAAAAGAACCCCGGCGAGGGGAGUGAAAAAGAACCUGAAACCGUGUACGUACAAGCAGUGGGAGCAUGCUUAGGCGUGUGACUGCGUACCUUUUGUAUAAUGGGUCAGCGACUUAUAUUCUGUAGCAAGGUUAACCGAAUAGGGGAGCCGAAGGGAAACCGAGUCUUAACUGGGCGUUAAGUUGCAGGGUAUAGACCCGAAACCCGGUGAUCUAGCCAUGGGCAGGUUGAAGGUUGGGUAACACUAACUGGAGGACCGAACCGACUAAUGUUGAAAAAUUAGCGGAUGACUUGUGGCUGGGGGUGAAAGGCCAAUCAAACCGGGAGAUAGCUGGUUCUCCCCGAAAGCUAUUUAGGUAGCGCCUCGUGAACUCAUCUCCGGGGGUAGAGCACUGUUUCGGCAAGGGGG